rnacentral:misc_RNA from 1 species
GGAUUUCUUGCCAUGUCAGUGUUAUCUCUUGCAGGGCGUACCAAAUGUUUAUGGAUGAAAAAUGUCAUUUGAAUGUUUAUAUUAGUUUGUCUUUUCCUUUACUAAUAGUAUUCUUUUAAUCUCUAAUUUUAUAUGAUGGAAAAUUUUGCCGUCUUGAUGAUUAGGUGCGCUUGAAGUGGUUGCUAACCUUCAAUUUCCUAGGGAGGUCAGAGGCUAAUUAUUGUGAAUGCACUAACUUGUCGAGU